AACGAACGCUGGCGGCAUGCCUAACACAUGCAAGUCGAACGAGACCUUCGGGACUAGGGGCGCACGGGUGCGUAACGCGUGGGAACCUGCCCUUAUGUUCGGACUAACUCUCCGAAAGGGGUGCUUAUAGCGGACAAUGUCUUCGACCCAAAGAUUUAUCGACUUUGUAUGGGCCCUCGUUGAAUUCGCUAGUUGGUAGGGUAAAAGCCUACCAAGGCGCCGAUUCAUAGCUGGGCUGUGAGGAUGAUCAGCCACGCUUGGACUGAGACGCGGCCCAGACUCUUACGGGAUGCAGCAGUGGGGAAUGUUGCACAAUGGGCGAAGGCCUGAUCCAGUAAUGCCGCUAGAGUGCUGUAGUCCUUAGGGUUGUAAAGCUCUUUUACCCGUGAUGAUAAUGACAGUACCGGAAGAAUAAGCUCCGGCUAACUACGUG
rnacentral:rRNA from 1 species